rnacentral:rRNA from 1 species
UACGAGGGGGGCGAGCGUUGUUCGGAAUUAUUGGGCGUAAAGGGUGCGUAGGCGGUUCCGCAAGUCCUGUGUGAAAUCUUCGGGCUCAACUCGAAGUCUGCACGGGAAACUGCGGGGCUUGAGUGUGGGAGAGGUGAGUGGAAUUCCCGGUGUAGCGGUGAAAUGCGUAGAUAUCGGGAGGGACACCAGUGGCGAAGGCGGCCUUCUGGACCAGUACUGACGCUCAUGCACGAAAGCGUGGGGAGCAAACAGG